GUGAUAAAAUGGGAAAUUUUCAUGGCUUUUCACCUCAAAGUAAAGGACAGUGCAUUGAACAGAAGAAUACAAACCAAGAAGGAGAUUCCCAUCAAUCUCCAAGGAAAGAUUCGCAUCGGCUUUCGCGGACAAACAGGGUGGAUCUGCAGGGGGAUUUUAGCAGUCCAGCAGUGCCAGAAAAUGAGGAUCAAAAAGGAGAUUUUGGUAAUCCUUCCUUAAAGUAUAUUAUGGAAAGACAAGAUGAAUUCCAAAGUCCAACAUUCAAUUUAAAUACUCCUAUCUUAAACUCUUCCCCUAGCUCAACACCAAAAGCUGACCAAAUAGAGAGGACUGUUUACGGUCCUUCCCCAGCAGAGGGAAGAUUUACUGUCAGAAAUAUUCCCAGCUUCAGGACUUUGCGGUCUUCAAAGGCAG
rnacentral:misc_RNA from 1 species